UCAAAGGAAUUGACGGGACCGCACAAGCAGCGGAGCGUGUGGUUUAAUUCGUUGCUACACGAAGAACCUUACCUGGGUUUGACAUAUAGGUUGUAGGGAACUGAAAGGACGACCUUCGGGAGCCUAUACAGGUGGUGCAUGGUUGUCGUCAGCUCGUGUCGUGAGAUGUUGGGUUAAGUCCCGCAACGAGCGCAACCCUCGACCUUAGUUGCCAGCAUUCAGUUGGGCACUCUAAGGUGACUGCCGGCUAAAAGUCGGAGGAAGUGGGGAUGACGUCAAAUCAUCAUGCCCCUUAUGACCUGGGCUACACACGUGCUACAAUGGGCGGUACAAAGGGUCGCGAACCCGCGAGGGGGAGCCAAUCCCAAAAAGCCGCUCUCAGUUCGGAUUGCAGGCUGCAACUCGCCUGCAUGAAGCCGGAAUCGCUAGUAAUCGCGGAUCAGCAUGCCGCGGUGAAUACGUUCCCGGGCCUU
rnacentral:rRNA from 1 species